UGGGGAAUCUUGCGCAAUGGGCGACAGCCUGACGCAGCAACGCCGCGUGGGGGAAGACGGCCUUCGGGUUGUAAACCCCUUUCAGGAGGGACGAAGCCCCGGCAGUGAAUAGCUGUCCGGGGUGACGGUACCUCCAGAAGAAGCCCCGGCUAACUACGUGCCAGCAGCCGCGGUAAUACGUAGGGGGCCAGCGUUGUCCGGAAUCAUUGGGCGUAAAGCGCGCGUAGGCGGCCAGAUAAGUCCGGUGUGAAAGUCACAGGCUCAACCUGUGAAUGCCGCUGGAAACUGUCUGGCUAGAGUCCGGGAGGGGCGAGUGGAAUUCCUGGUGUAGCGGUGAAAUGCGCAGAUAUCAGGAGGAACACCAAUGGCGAAGGCAGCUCGCUGGAACGGUACUGACGCUGAGGCGCGAAAGCGUGGGGAGCGAACAG
rnacentral:rRNA from 1 species